rnacentral:rRNA from 1 species
CGUGUAGGCGGCCUGUUAAGUUAGACGUGAAAUCCCUGGGCUUAACCCAGGACCUGCGUUUAAAACUGGCGGGCUUGAGGACCGGAGAGGGCAGUGGAAUUCCCAGUGUAGCGGUGAAAUGCGUAGAUAUUGGGAGGAACACCAGUGGCGAAGGCGACUGCCUGGACGGCCCCUGACGCUGAGGCGCGAAAGCUAGGGGGAGCAAACGGGAUUAGAUACCCCGGUAGUCCUAGCCGUAAACGAUGGGUACUAGGUGUGGGAGGUAUCGACCCCUUCCGUGCCGCAGUUAACACAAUAAGUACCCCGCCUGGGGAGUACGGCCGCAAGGUUGAA